GAGGAAAGAGGGAGGGGGGAGGAACACAGGCAAGUCGAACGGAAAGGCCCUGCUUUUGUGGGGUGCUCGAGUGGCGAACGGGUGAGUAACACGUGAGUAACCUGCCCUUGACUUUGGGAUAACUUCAGGAAACUGGGGCUAAUACCGGAUAGGAGCUCCUGCUGCAUGGUGGGGGUUGGAACGUUUCGGCGGUUGGGGAUGGACUCGCGGCUUAUGAGCUUGUUGGUGGGGUAGUGGCUUACCAAGGCUUUGACGGGUAGCCGGCCUGAGAGGGUGACCGGCCACAUUGGGACUGAGAUACGGCCCAGACUCCUACGGGAGGCAGCAGUGGGGAAUAUUGCACAAUGGGCGGAAGCCUGAUGCAGCAACGCCGCGUGCGGGAUGACGGCCUGCGGGUUGUAAACCGCUUUCGCCUGUGACGAAGCGUGAGUGACGGUAAUGGGUAAAGAAGCACCGGCUAACUACGUA
rnacentral:rRNA from 1 species